ACUUAAGUAGCUUAUUAGAGCAUAACAUUGAAGCUGUUAAGGAGGUAAUAUUAUCCUUAAGUA
rnacentral:tRNA from 2 species